rnacentral:rRNA from 1 species
UCUCUCUGAAUCUGCGAACGGCUCCGCAAACCAGUUGUAAACUACAGCAAGCAUGUCCUUGACUUUCGGGUUGGGGAUGAUAUGGAUAACCCUGGUAAUUCUGAGGCUAAUACAAGAUCGUAACACCUGGCUGACUGGGCAACUAGAAGGCUGGGGGACGUGCGGAAAAGGCAGAUGAGUUCCGGGAAAGGAUGCACGUUCAGACCACCAUAAAAACGGUAUCUGUCUAGCCCGCAAGGGUGAAGCGGUGUCCGGGUGGCUCUUGCUUUGUGCUUCUGACCUAUCAACUAGAUGGCAGCGUAACGGACAUGCCAUGGUUACAACGGGUACAGAGGAUAAGGGUUCGAUCCUGGAGAGUGGGCCUGAGAGAUU